rnacentral:rRNA from 1 species
AGCAGCCGCGGUAAUUCCAGCUCCAAUAGCGUAUAUUAAAGUUGUUGCAGUUAAAAAGCUCGUAGUUGAAUUUCGGAAUUUGUCGGUUGGUCGGGCUUCACUGUCCGCACUGGCCUGAUGGAUUCCUACCUUCUGAAUAACCAGCAUGCUAUUAAGUUAGUGCGUUGGGGAAGCAGAGCUAUUACCUUGAAAAAUUAGAGUGCUUAAAGCAGGCUUGUGCUUGAAUAGAUUAGCAUGGAAUAAUAAAAUAGGACGGCAUGGUUCUAUUUUGUUGGUUUCUAGGAUCACCGUAAUGAUUAAUAGGGAUAGUUGGGGGCAUUAGUAUUCAAUUGUCAGAGGUGAAAUUCUUGGAUUUAUUGAAGACUAACUUCUGCGAAAGCAUUUGCCAAGGAUGUUUUUACAUUAAUCAAGAACGAAAGUUAGGGGAUCGAAGACGAUCAGAUACCGUCG